AAGUCGUAACAAGGUUUCCGUAGGUGAACCUGCGGAAGGAUCAUUAAUGAAAUUUAUGACUGGAGUUGUAGCUGGCCCUUAAAAACGGCAUGUGCACGCUCCUUUCACUAAUCCACACACACCUGUGCACCUUCGCGGGGGUCUUCUUUUCGGAGAAGGCUCGCGUCCCUUUACACACCCUUUGCAUGUCUUAAGAAUGUCUACUCGAUGUAAUAAAACGCAUCUAAUACAACUUUCAACAACGGAUCUCUUGGCUCUC
rnacentral:misc_RNA from 1 species